AACGAACGCUGGCGGCAUGCCUAACACAUGCAAGUCGAACGAGACCUUCGGGUCUAGUGGCGCACGGGUGCGUAACGCGUGGGAAUCUGCCCUUGGGUUCGGAAUAACAGUUGGAAACGACUGCUAAUACCGGAUGAUGACGUAAGUCCAAAGAUUUAUCGCCCAAGGAUGAGCCCGCGUAGGAUUAGCUAGUUGGUGAGGUAAAGGCUCACCAAGGCGACGAUCCUUAGCUGGUCUGAGAGGAUGAUCAGCCACACUGGGACUGAGACACGGCCCAGACUCCUACGGGAGGCAGCAGUGGGGAAUAUUGGACAAUGGGCGAAAGCCUGUUCCAGCAAUGCCGCGUGAGUGAUGAAGGCCUUAGGGUUGUAAAGCUCUUUUACCCGGGAUGAUAAUGACAGUACCGGGAGAAUAAGCUCCGGCUAACUCCGUG
rnacentral:rRNA from 1 species